CUGAAUGAGGUAAUUAAGUUAACCAACAAGUUUGCCAUUACAUAUAUCGUGUUUCCAAUCAAGAGACUCUUUGACUUCAAUAUAAUAAGCUUCAAACGAUAAUUUAUGGAAAGAAAUAUGGCUUUGGUGGUGUCUAAAUUCAGACCAUACAUAGCAUCUUUUAUAAUCAAAUGUUGAUAAAAAUAUUUUUGCAGUUCUAUGCGAGGAUUUUUUUUUCCAAUCAAUAAUGCAUAAUGCAGUAUUAAUCAUCUGCUGGAAUAUUAGUCAUAGAUAAAGUUAUGAUCAUCAAAUUCAUUAACCAGAGAGGGAAAAUUAUGGUCCAGAUCUUACAUAAAGACUCUUAUCUAAUCACUUGAAACCAAACUCAUUAUUUUUCCUUGUUAUUGCUCUUUUCUCUAUUGCACGCUAAAUAUCAUCCUCUGCCAAUUCGUAGUCUUUUCAAUGCUAUCUGUUAAACUGCUGCAAAACCUGAGCAUACGUUGAAGCAACAGCGAGAAAUCCAAGGACAUCCAACAUUGCCUUCAAUUCUUUCUCGAGCUUAAAUAGGGACAAUAGAUAUCGCACUCUCCAACUUGUUCAAAGAUUUAUACAUAAUUAAGUCCCUCUUAGAUUCUUUGAAGUUGCUCAGAGGUGUGUAUAUACUCAGUUUUGAUCAUGCCUUGCUGAAUCUUCUCUCUUAUGAAGUAGCAGUCAAUCUCAAUGUGUUUUGUUCUUUCAUGAAACAUAGGAUUGGCUGCUAUUUGAAUAGCUGCUUUGCUAUCUGUACGAAUGCAAAUUGUUGUGACCAAGGUUAUCGGCAGAGUGUUCUUCCACCUCUGGUGUGAGUGUAUGUACAGACUCCUCCUCAGCAGUUAUAGUGCUUAUUUCACCAACUAGCAGGGCACUAGAGUUACCUAUCAUAUUGGCAGCAUGAGUUGCAUUAGAAGUGUUGGAUGCUUGAGCAGCUAUGUGACUUUGCUCCAUCAUCUUGUAGAUUUUUGCAUAUUGAGUAGGUGUAAGCUUUGGUCCUUCAGUUCUUUGAAAUUGUGCUAGCUGUUGUUGAAUGCUAGGAUUACUAACUGAUCCUGUUGUGUGGUAGUUGUGAUGGCCAGGAGUGAGGCAUCAUCAUUUCAUUCACUUGAUUCAUGUCAGUUCCUAAACCUGGAUGGUUGCCUUGAUUCCAUUGUUCAGUAAUUACACCAGAUGCAUUAUAACUA